GACGAACGCUGGCGGCGUGCUUAACACAUGCAAGUCGAACGGAAAGGCCCUGCUUUUGUGGGGUGCUCGAGUGGCGAACGGGUGAGUAACACGUGAGUAACCUGCCCUUGACUUUGGGAUAACUUCAGGAAACUGGGGCUAAUACCGGAUAGGAGCUCCUGCUGCAUGGUGGGGGUUGGAAAGUUUCGGCGGUUGGGGAUGGACUCGCGGCUUAUCAGCUUGUUGGUGGGGUAGUGGCUUACCAAGGCUUUGACGGGUAGCCGGCCUGAGAGGGUGACCGGCCACAUUGGGACUGCGGUACGGACCAGACGCGUACGGGAGGCAGCAGUGGGGAGUAUUGCACAAUGGGCGGGAGCCUGAUACAGAAACGCCGCGUGCGGGAUGACGGCCUUCGGGUUAUAAACCGCUUUCGCCUGUGACGAAGCGUGAGUGACGGUAAUGAGUAAAGAAGCACCGGCUAACUACGUG
rnacentral:rRNA from 1 species